UCGCACGAGAACGCUCCGGCUUCGGCCGGGGCAAGUACAGUGGCGGACGGGUGCGUAUCGCGUAGAUAACCUGCCCUCAGGCGCGGGACAAUCACGGGAAACCGUGGCUAAUACCGCACGUCGUCUGGGCCCCGCAUGGGGACCAGAUGAAAGCUUGGGGUUACCCAGGCGCCUUUGGAUGGGUCUGCGUUGGAUUAGCUUGUUGGUGAGGCAACGGCUCACCAAGGCGACGAUCCAUAGCUGGUCUGAGAGGACGAUCAGCCACACUGGGACUGAGACACGGCCCAGACUCCUACGGGAGGCAGCAGUGGGGAAUCUUGCACAAUGGGGUCACCCCUGAUGCAGCCAUGCCGCGUGGAGGAAGACACCCCUAUGGGGCGUAAACUCCUUUUCUGAACGAAGAAACCCCUGUAGGUUCAGGGCGCGACGGUAGUUCAGGAAUAAGCACCGGCUAACUCCGUGCCAGCAGCCGCGGUAAUACGGAGGGUGCAAGCGUUGUCCGGAAUCACUGGGUGUAAAGGGUGUGCAGGCGGGGCAACAAGUCGGAUGUGAAACCCCAUGGCUCAACCAUGGAGGUGCAUUCGAAACUGUUGCUCUUGAGUCCCGGAGAGGCUGUCGGAAUUCGUGGUGUAGCGGUGAAAUGCGUAGAUAUCACGAGGAACACCAGAGGCGAAAGCGGGCAGCUGGACGGGUACUGACGCUCAGGCACGAAAGCGUGGGGAGCAAACAGGAUUAGAUACCC
rnacentral:rRNA from 1 species